UACAGAGGUCCCGAGCGUUGUUCGGAUUCACUGGGCGUAAAGGGUGCGUAGGUGGCGUGGUAAGUUUGAUGUGAAAGCUCAGGGCUUAACCCUGAAAUGGCAUUGAAUACUACUGUGCUGGAGGUUUGGAGGGGGGACUGGAAUUCUCGGUGUAGCAGUGAAAUGCGUAGAUAUCGAGAGGAACACCAGUGGCGAAGGCGAGUCCCUGGACACUUCCUGACACUGAGGCACGAAAGCUAGGGGAGCAAACAGG
rnacentral:rRNA from 1 species